UUCACUCACACACCGUGCUCUUUCUCUCUCUUUUGCUCUACUCUCACCCUCUCUCUCUCUCUCUCUCUCCUCUAAACACUACAACCACCUGGAGAGAAGAACACUUCCUCUCCUCUCCCUUCAGCAGGUGGAACACAGAGCUGAUGUGAAGCUGCUUCACUUGUCAGUCAGUAAUCCCAUCAUGAUCAUGAUGCGCCUCAGAUUGUUGUCAAUCACCAACCAGCGCUGCGUUCAGGGUCUCCUCAAGAUGGCGUCUGUGUUACACUUUACAGUCAACAGCGCUCCCAGCAGGCCACAGGGACGACUACAGGGGUUCCACCAUGGUGGGAACCAUCCAUGGAUAAGAUAAGAUAAGAUAAGAUAGAACUUUAUUAAUCCCGAAGGAAAUUCUU